rnacentral:rRNA from 1 species
UACAUAGGGGGCAAGCGUUGUCCGGAAUUAUUGGGCGUAAAGCGCAUGUAGGCGGCCAUGUAAGUCGGAUGUGAAAUCCCGAGGCUCAACUUCGGAACUGCAUCCGAUACUGCAUGGCUUGAGGAAGGUAGAGGAGAGUGGAAUUCCCGGUGUAGCGGUGGAAUGCGCAGAUAUCGGGAGGAACACCAGCGGCGAAGGCGGCUCUCUGGGCCUUUCCUGACGCUGAGAUGCGAAAGCGUGGGUAG